CACAGGUGCCUCCAGGCCACAGAGCAGGACAGACAGGGUUGGAGAUUGGACCACUCGUGUGUGGAUGAGAGCCCCUACUGUGUGCAAAGAAAUGAACUGAGCUCUCUGGCCUCACACCCUAAGCCCAACCCUGAUCCACUAAGCACUGGCAGCUUCAGGCCCACCACUGCUGGCCUCCCAUCUCUUUCUCCAAGCAACGGUGCCUGUGUGUUGAGCACUUCCAGACAAACACGCCUGCCAUGAUGGACCACAUUUCUGUGCAGAUGCUGAGUACACACCGUCUCCCACUCCCACGGCUGCUUUGCAAGGACAGUGUUAAUGAUCCUCACUUUGUAAACAAGGAAAACUGAAGCUCAGAAAGGAGGGAUGGAGGGCGGUAAGGUUGGGCAUCCUACACAUAUGGUGAUAUCAUUGAACAUUUUGUGUUGAAGAAUGAUGGAGUGUUGAACACAGAAUCAGAGAAUUUUACUUUAUUUUAUUUUUUGAGAAGGAGUCUCAAUCUGUCAACCAGGCUGGAGUGCAGUGGCGCGAUCUCGGCUCAGGGCAACUUCCACCUCCUGGGUUCAAGGGAUCCUCCUGCCUCAGCCUCCCGAGUCGCAGGGAUCACAGGCAUGUACUACCAGGCCCGGCUAAUUGUUUUGUGUUUUUGGUGGAGACGGGGUUUCACAAUGUUGGCCAGGCUGGUCUCAAACUCCUGACCUCAAGUGAUCUGCCCACCUUGGCCUCGCAAAGUACUGGGAUUACAGGCAUGAGCCACUGUGCCUGGCCAAGAAUUUUAGAAUCAUAAAAUCUAGGAGUCCUGGGCUCCUAGGUUACCAGUAUAACCCACACUGCCACCAACUCCCUGUCCAUUCCCCACACUGUAAAUGAAAUGUCUCUCUGGGGCCCACCUCCCAUUCACUCAGGCCUCUUCUCUCACCUGGGAUCUUGUUCCAGACUUGUCUCUUGUCUCUCCUCCUUCCAAACCCGUACACAGGAGCCAGAGGCAUCUUUCCAAACUACCAAGCAGAUUGUGCCACUCUGCUGCCCCUUAAAACCCUUCCCUGGCUCCCCUUUGCCCUCAGGAUAAAGUUCAAACUCCUUGACAUGGUUUACUAGGUUCUCAGUCAUCUGGCCACAGUCUGGCCACUCUGCCUUCUACCGCCCCCCACCCCCAACUCUAUACCAACCCAUACAGAACUUGUUUUGCUUCACCAGAUGUGCUGGAUGCUGGCUCUCUCCCCUGACCCCUGGACCUUUGCACUGGCUGUUCCCGCUACCUGGAACACAGUCUACAACACCACCUCCUUCUCUGGUUGAAGUCCUCUCUCUUCCUGUUUGCUCUGAGGACAGUUUCUGCUCACAUCCCUCCUGAAUAUCUGGGUUGGUGUUCCUUCAUUUACCACAGUCCCCACCCCAGCUGCUGUGCUUACCAUGUGACAGAGAUCACUACAUCAUGUGUGCCCGUGUGUUUGCCUGUGUCCCCAUCCACUCAUGAGCCACAGGAGGGCAGAUAUCGGGAUCAUCUUUUCUCUACUGAAUCCCUAGCACCCAGCACUGUGCCUGGCAGAGAAGAGUUGUUCAGCCAAGAUAUAUGUUGAUAAAUGAAUCAUAAGAUGUUAGAAUCACAAGCUUUUAGAGCCAUGGACUUGGUGAAACAGAAGCCUAAAGUCUCAGAAUUAUAUAAUCCUAGACUUAGCAUUAAUUAUACACAGAAACUGAGAAUCUCCGAAUCUUAGGAUCUCAAGGUUGAAAGAAUUCUUAUAUAGGCAUCUUGUCCAAGGACUAUCAGUGGAUUAGGAAAAUUUUAAUUGUGCCCUUCUAUAUUAUUUAAUGUAUAUUUUUACAUUUAUUUAUAUAAAAACUAUAAUACAUUUGUCUUUCAAACAUUUAUUUUAUUUUAAUAAAAGUUUAGUUGGCGCCUAUUGAGUGAGAAUGCACUCACCGCAGCGGCCCCAAACAUUUAUUUUUAUAAUGUGUCCUUCUAUAUUUAUUAAGCACUUAUUUAUUAACCAAUAUUAAUUAGCCUAUUUAUUCUGUGACCAGACACUGUGCUAGGCAACUAUGUGAGUCAUCUAUGUCUGCAUAACUAAUUACUAAUUACCUUAAUUUUAAAACAACAAACAUGUAUUAUAUCAUAGUUUCUGUGUGGUAGGACUUCAGAAAUGGCUUGGCUGGAUGGUUCUGGCUUAGAUCUCUCAUGAGGUUGUAGUCAAAAUACCAGCUGGGACAGUGAUCCCCUGAAAGCUUGACUGGGGCUUGAGAAUCCACUUUCAAUUUGGCUCACUUGCAUGGCUGGCAGUUGGCAGGAGGCCUCAAUUCCUCCCAUGUGGACCUUGCCAUAGGAUUGCUUGAGUGUCCUUACAGCAUGGCUGCUGGCAUCCCCAGAGCAAGGGAUUCAAGGUGGCAAGAUGAAAUCCACAAUGCCUCUUAUCAUCUAGCCUCAAAAGUCACACUCCAUCUUUUUCACAAUAUCCUAGUGAUUACACAGACAACGCUACUCAGUUUGGGAGGGGAGUAAAUAAUGGUGGGAAUACCAGGAAAUGGGGAUCACUGGGGGACAUCUUGGAGGCUGGCUACCACAGCAGCAUUGAAUGAGACUAGAGUCUCUGCUCUUAUGGAGUUAACAGUCUAGAGAGGGAAGGAUAGAGGAAGACAAUCAAACAAGACAAUUAGUUAGAGCUGGAGUAAGCAAACUACAUUCAUAGGCCAAAUCCAGCCUACUGCCUACUUUUGUAAAUAAAGUUCAUUGAACUCAGCCACACCCAUUCACUUACAUAUUGCUUAUGGCUGUUUUACGCUGUAAGAGCAGACUUAAGUAGUUGCAGCAGGGACUGUAUAUCCUGCAAAGCCUCGUGUAUUUAGCCAAGUGAUCAGGGAAGGCCUCUCCAAGAGGCAACGUUUGAGUAGGGACCUGAAUGUUUAGAAGGAAGUGGCCAUGAGAAGAGCUGAGGACAGAAUGUUCCAGAUAAAGGGAACAUUAGGGUAAAGGCUGUGAAAUGGGAACAGCUUUAGUGUGUUGAGGAACAGGGAGGAGCCCAAGGGGGCUGGAAUGGAGUGACCAUGGGGAGAUGAUCUCAUAGGCGUGAUCAGGAACCAGGUUCUGUAGGACCUUGGGGCCCUGGUGAAGAAUUUAAAAUUGUUCCAAGAAUGAUGGGAAGCCAUUGGAGGGUUUUAAGCAGAGAGAGGUAGGAUCUGAUGGGGAUGGUAGAGAUGCCUGGUGUAGUUUGGCCCCAUUCUUUGAGCAAGAUGGUGCCUCUACUGGCCCCCUAGAGUGCAGCUGUCCCGGAACCUGUUAGUGUUGACAAGAGUCAGGUGAAGACCUUUGGCAUCAUCCCACAAUUACAUGUUCAGGUCUUACCAAUCCUUCUGAUCUGGAAGUCCUUUCUUUUGACUCACUCUGAGUCCCUUGCUGUCCCUUGCCAGCCUGCCUCUUCUGGAUCUAAGAAAUCUGUGAAGUUGGAAAGAACACUGCAUUUUGAGCCCUGGGUUCCAGACCGUGCCCUUCCCUGACUUGCCUGCAACAGUCCAGCAGCCUCUCUGUGUCUCAGUUUCCUUGUCUGUAAAAUGAAGGGAGAGUCCAGUCUGCCUGGCCCAAGACCAGGUGAUUAAAUGUCCUAGGAAGAGCAUGAAGGGCGUGUGGCAGCAUGGGUUGGGAUGGACUUGGCCAGACUGGGGUUGCUGAGGUGAGCAGUGGGAAGUAGGGGUGGUUGGUACAUUGGGAAGAAGGCUUCCGGCUAACCCUCCUCAGCUAGAGUUUUUUGGUUUUUUUUUCUUGAGAUGGAGUCUUGCUCUGUCUCCCAGGCUGUAGUGCAGUGGCGUGAUCUUGGCUCACUGCAACCUCUGCCUUAGCCUCCGGUUCAAGUGAUCCUCCUGCCUUAGCCUCCGGAGUAGCUGG
rnacentral:lncRNA from 1 species